rnacentral:rRNA from 1 species
GAUGAACGCUAGCGGCAGGCUUAACACAUGCAAGUCGAGGGGCAGCACGGGUAGCAAUACCUGGUGGCGACCGGCGCAAGGGUGCGUAACGCGUGAGCAACAUGCCCUAUACAGGGGGAUAAUCCAGGGAAACUUGGUCUAAUAUCCCAUAGUAUUUAGAGGAGGCAUCUUCUAUAAAUUAAAGCUUCGGUGGUAUAGGAUUGGCUCGCGUGACAUUAGCUAGAUGGUGAGGUAACGGCUCACCAUGGCAAUGAUGUCUAGGGGUUCUGAGAGGAAGGCCCCCCACACUGGGACGUGAGACACGGCCCAGACUCCUACGGGAGGGCAGCAGUGAGGAAUAAUUGGACAAUGGAUGGAAAUCUGAUCCAGCCAUGCCGCGUGCAGGAAGACAGCCCUAUGGGUUGUAAACUGCUUUUAUAUGGGAGCAAUAAGGUCUACGUGUAGACUGAUGAGAGUACCAUAUGAAUAAGC